rnacentral:tRNA from 1 species
GGGGUUGUGGCUCAGAGGUAGAGCUCUCAUCUGGCACGUGCAGCACCCUGGGUUCGAUCCUCAGCACCACUU